ACGCUGGCGGCGUGCCUAACACAUGCAAGUCGAGCGAGAAUCUUCUAAAUGAUUUCUUCGGAAUGAUUUUAGAAGAGGAAAGCGGCGGACGGGUGAGUAACGCGUGAGUAACCUGCCUUCAGGAGGGGGACAACAUUCCGAAAGGGAUGCUAAUACCGCAUAAUAUAUAUUUGAGGCAUCUCAGAUAUAUCAAAGAUUUAUCGCCUGAAGAUGGACUCGCGUCUGAUUAGAUAGUUGGCGGGGUAACGGCCCACCAAGUCGACGAUGGGUAGCCGGACUGAGAGGUUGACCGGCCACAUUGGGACUGAGAUACGGCCCAGACUCCUACGGGAGGCAGCAGUGGGGAAUAUUGGGCAAUGGACGCAAGUCUGACCCAGCAACGCCGCGUGAAGGAAGAAGGCUUUCGGGUUGUAAACUUCUUUGACAGGGGAAGAGUAGAAGACGGUACCCUGAAAACAAGCCACGGCUAACUACGUG
rnacentral:rRNA from 1 species